UACAGGGGGUGCAAACGUUGCUCGGAAUUAUUGGGCGUAAAGCGCGCGUAGGCGGUUGCUUAUGUCGGAUGUGAAAGCCCUCGGCUUAACUGAGGAAGUGCAUCCGAAACUGGGCAGCUAGAGUACGAAAGAGGGUCGCGGAAUUCCCGGUGUAGAGGUGAAAUUCGUAGAUAUCGGGAGGACACCGGUGGCGAAGGCGGCGACCUGGGUCGAGACUGACGCUGAGGCGCGAAAGCGUGGGGAGCAAACAGG
rnacentral:rRNA from 1 species